CAUAUUCAUGACAAUCCGGAUUUUCAAGCAUUAGUCGAUCAUUAUACCAUUCCUCGGAUAACCAGUUCAAUAUUAAAUUUGUACUGGAACGCCAGUUAGAUGCAACGUAAGUAAAAAGCUGCCCUCGAACAAAUGAAGACAAAGUGAAAGAAGCAUCUCCAGAUUCCUCACCAGACGUUACAGGCUGAUAAUUCAAUAAGCCUCGCGUACAAAGUCGUGGUAAGAGAAUUGCCCAGUGACGCUUAUCCCAUACCGUAUUAUCCACAUUUUCCAACGUUAAAUUUUGAAGGUUAGAAGAAGAAACUAUGCUUCUUUCAAAUUGAGGAGCAUAAUCAAAUAAUCUGGAUAAGGCACCGUGAAAGUAUUCUAGAAUAGCCAUCGGGGACAGCGAAUCUGGAGUGGGUAAUUCAAACGCAUCAGUAACGACAUUGGAGGGAGCACUUCCCUCUAGUCGAGCUGCUUCACGUUCUACACUAGCAUUGAUAGUCUGAACAUCUACCUCAGGCGGUUCAUAAUCCUCGUCCUCGUCUUCAUCAACUUGUUGAUCAAGACCAAGGGAUUCAGGCUCAGAGAGAGAGCGCACUCUCUCUCUCAACAUAUUAAUUUGCUGAUGAAAGUAGUUUUUGUCUAUCUUAAGAAGAGAAGUAAGUACAAUUUCAGUAGCCACUUCAACCGGAAUUGAAGUUACAUCAAAAUUUGCAAGAGGAUUUAUAGCAGUUUGUGAAGCAAAUAUGCUGAUUAAGGGAUUAUUUUGCAAACCAUCGUGA